rnacentral:rRNA from 1 species
CCUACGGGUGACAGCAGUGGGGAAUAUUGCACAAUGGGGGAAACCCUGAUGCAGCAACGCCGCGUGAGUGAAGAAGUAUUUCGGUAUGUAAAGCUCUAUCAGCAGGGAAGAAAAUGACAGUACCUGACUAAGAAGCCCCGGCUAACUACGCUCCAGCAGCCGCGGUAAUAUGUAGGGGGCAAGCGUUAUCCGGAUUUACUGGGUGUAAAGGGAGCGUAGACGGCGGCGCAAGUCAGAAGUGAAAGCCCGGGGCUCAACCGCGGGACUGCAUUUGAAACUAUGUAGCUAGAGUGCAGGAGAGGUAAGUGGAAUUCCUAGUGUAGCGGUGAAAUGCGUAGAUAUUAGGAGGAACACCGGUGGCGAAGGCGGCUUACUGGACUGUAACUGACGUUGAUGCUCGAAAGUGUGGGUAUCAAACAGGAUUAGAUACCCGAGUAGUC